rnacentral:lncRNA from 1 species
AGAUGCUGCAAUUUUCUAUAAUUCAUCUAGUUACUGGGAUGAGUUUGUCUGGGGCGGAGCCUGGCUGUACUACGCCACUGGGAACAACUCCUAUCUUCAGCUUGCUACUACACCUGGUCUGGCCAAGCAUGCCGGUGCUUUCUGGGGAGGCCCAGAUUAUGGUAUACUUAGCUGGGACAACAAGCUUGCUGGUGCUCAAGUAAGUUAGUAGAGCUAGUUUUUAUUUUUUUAAGGACUUGGUCAGUUGUGCGAUUUAGUUGUUGUUUCCUGGCAAAUUAACUCAGUGUCAGUGUUUAUGUUGUACAAUUUUUCAGUUUAGUGGUUCAACCAUGUAAGGUCCUCUUGGCAUUCUAAAUCCUGGAUUGCCAUCAUUAGUCAACCCAAAAUUUUACCUAGUUCUUAACAUUGGCAUCAACUUAUUUGUUUAUUGCUUGUAUGAUAUCAUACUAAAGGUUGGGCAAAGUUGAGCCUAUACGAACAAACUGUCAGCAAGUUCUAGGACAUGGCUCUACCUUAAAUUGUCCAUUUUGGUAGUACAUAGCAGAUCCAGGACUUCAUUAUACUACUGGGCAUCCAUUUUAUGUGUUGGACCAUUUAUGAAAGGGAUUGUCUCUGGGUAAUUCACCUCUCAAAAUGAUGGCAUAACACAACUGUCAUGGCUGCCAAACUGGUCUUGUUUUCACUUAUAAUAUUUGAAGUGGAAAUCAUAGUUUUAAAUUGAGUAGCAAGUUUUGGCAGUUGAUUUGUUACUCUUUAUCUUUUAAUAGUUUCCAUUUAGAUAAAUUUGGCAAGAACUGAAGGUAUUAUUUAGUUUGGCAUUCCGUUUUUAUUUUGGAAGUCUUAACAUUUGCCUAAUGUUAAUGGUAUCAAAUUUCUCAGCUUGUUUCAAUGUGUGCUUCUUGAUAUUUGUCUCUGAAGUUGAUAUGUGGUUUGUUUCCAACAGUUCUCCUUUGAUGAUUGUAUUAGUCCAUGCAGCUUUGGGGCCAAACAUGAAUGCUUACCAAAUUGUUAGGCUUUCUCUAACACCUGUGAGCAGUGCUUACAAUGAUACCAACUUUAGUGAACUUUCCCCCUUUUUGAUUGGAUCUCCAUUUUCCGUUUUUAGUAUGUCAAAAUUUCGCUGAAGUUUUUCAUGUUUUUUUCCUUAUAUUUUCUUCUGCCUGCUGUCUUAUUUAUUUAUUUUCUUCUUAUGAUAGUCUCUUUCAUAUCUGCUGAUAUCUCAGCUUUAGGAUGGUCCAGUUGAUUUCUUUAUGAAAAGGUUUACAUCCAUAAAUGAAGUAGCUCCGAGACAUUCACAUUUGCAUGUUGAUCAAAUAAAAUUGGAAUUAUUGUUUGCAAGAGUCAAAAACUCAUGGCUGGUUCAUUGCUGAUAUGCUUUAUGUUUUUUUCUUAAUUAGGUGCUCCUAAGCCGUUUGAGAUUGUUCUUGAGCCCUGGGUAUCCAUAUGAAGAAAUUCUGAGGACAUUUCACAAUCAAACCAGCAUAAUUAUGUGCUCAUACCUACCGAUUUUCACAAGCUUUAACAGAACAAAAGGUACCCCAGCUAAUAUUUCGUCAACCUUACAGUUUGGUGGGGAUGGGUUGCCCAAGUUUAACACAAAAACUUAAUGUAAUGUUUUGGGUACCCCUUGCAGGAGGCUUGAUCCAAUUAAACCAUGGAAGGCCACAACCACUUCAAUACAUUGUCAAUGCUGCCUUCCUGGCUACCCUGUACAGUGAUUAUCUUGAAGCUGCUGACACCCCUGGAUGGUAUUGUGGACCUAAUUUCUAUUCAACUGAAGUCCUGCGUGAAUUUGCCAAGACCCAGGUAUGCGAUAUCUGAUUCCUCAAUUAAAGUUGUGAGGGAACAUGAGUCUGCUCAUGUAGUAAUAAAUAUUGUUGGAACCAACAAGGUCACUUAAAUUUUUCAUAUCUCUGACCUUCUGGCAGAUUGAUUACAUCCUCGGCAAAAAUCCUCGAAAGAUGAGCUAUAUUGCAGGUUUUGGCAAUCAUUAUCCAAGACAUGUCCACCAUAGAGGUGCAUCUAUCCCUAAGAACAAAAUCAAAUAUAAUUGUAAAGGAGGAUGGAAAUGGAGAGACUCUUCGAAGCCAAAUCCAAAUACACUCGUAGGGGCCAUGGUUGCUGGGCCAGACAAGCAUGAUGGUUUCCAUGAUGUCCGUACUAAUUACAACUACACAGAGCCUACGCUUGCAGGAAAUGCAGGUUUAGUAGCUGCACUUGUGGCUCUGUCAGGUGACAAGACAACUGGAAUUGACAAGAACACUAUAUUCUCUGCUGUUCCACCAAUGUUUCCCACUCCACCACCCCCUCCCGCACCUUGGAAACCAUGAGAUACCACACUGAAUAUCAUCCUUUCCUAUAAAGUAUGCGGUGUGGCUUGUGGUUAGAUAAUUUUGUUGGGAGUAUGGUUUUUGGAUUUUGAAUCAC